UGGGGAAUAUUGGACAAUGGGGGAAACCCUGAUCCAGCGACGCCGCGUGGGUGAAGAAGGCCUGCGGGUUGUAAAGCCCUUUCGGUAGGGACGAAAGCUCUCGACCUAACACGUCGGGAGGUUGACUUAACCUACAAAAGAAGCACCGGCUAACUCUGUGCCAGCAGCCGCGGUAAUACAGAGGGUGCGAGCGUUAAUCGGAAUUACUGGGCGUAAAGCGCACGUAGGCGGCUUGGUAUGUCGGGUGUGAAAUCCCCGGGCUCAACCUGGGAACUGCAUCCGAAACUGCCUUGCUCGAGUAUGGGAGAGGGAAGUGGAAUUUCCGGUGUAGCGGUGAAAUGCGUAGAUAUCGGAAGGAACAUCAGUGGCGAAGGCGACUUCCUGGACCAAUACUGACGCUCAGGUGCGAAAGCGUGGGGAGCAAACAGG
rnacentral:rRNA from 2 species